rnacentral:lncRNA from 1 species
GAACAUUCUUCCCCAGAUAUCUACCUGGCUCUUUCCCUCUCCUCCCUUUUUUUUUUUUUUCUCCCUUAAGUUUUUGCUUAAAUGUCUCCGUGGGGCCUCCAUCCCCCUUCUUGGUUUCCAUUCAUCCUCUCACUCCUCGUUCUCGGGAGGAGGGCCUUCCACCGAGGCAAGGACCAUCUCUCCUGUUCCUCUGCACCCCAGCCCCUGGGCUGGCCACCCCCAGUAGGCUCGCAGAAGCAAACACGAACGGGUAAGGGGAAGAAGAAAAGGGCCAGCUCGGGCCUCUGCAGCCUCCGGAAGGUUCCAUCCUGCAGAUUCCGCAGCGGGCGGCUCGGGAAGGUCAAAAGGGAAAGGGGGCAGCUACAGGGUGGCACCAGCCGAGAGGUCAAGAAGGGGCUUCUCAGGACACUUCUAUGGUGUGUGAUUCAUGCUCCGUAUGCUGACCUCAGAACCAACUUGUGCAGAACAGAAACUUCCAGCACAGCGAGCUCCUUGCAGCACCCAGCACCUGUGUACCUGCACCUGCACCUACAGACUCUCAGGACAUGCUUCUCACCUUCUCACUUCUUGGCCUUGUGCUGAGCAUGUUUGGGGCUGUCCUGUGCACUGCGUGAUGGUCAGCAUGAACAUUCCUGGCCAUUCCCCAUUACCAGCUCUAGUACCUCCCUGUCUCCAGAAAUUGCCAAAUAUCCUCUGGGGGGCAAAGUUACCCUGGCUGGGAACCACUGGCUUACCUGCAAUGCACCCAGAUACCCCAUGCCUUCUCCCUAACUUUCUUCAGGUCUUGACUCAAGGGUCACCGCCCUACUGUGGGCUCUGUCCACCCUGAUUAUCACUGCUGCCCACCUCAACUCCCUACCUCCCUUCCUGCUGUAUUUUUCUCCAUAGCCCUCAUCACCAUUUUUUUUUUGUUUAUUAUGUCUCUUCUUAAUAGACCAUAUAUUAUUAUUUUUUAAAGAUUUAAUUUAUGUAUUUGAGAGAGAGAGCAUGGGAGAGAGAGAAUAAGCAGUGGGUUGAGGCAGAGGGAGAGGGAGAAGCAGACUCCCCACUGAGCAGGGAGCCUGAUGCUAGGCUCCAUCCUAGGACCCUGGGAUCAUGACCCAAGUCGAAGUCAGGUGCCCAACAUACUGAGCCACCUACAUGCCCAGACCAGAAGCUUUAAAAAGACAAGGACUGGGGCACCUGGGUGUCUCAGUGGUUGAGCAUCUGCCUUUGGCUCAGGGAGUGAUCCGGGGUCCUGGGAUGGAGUUGCACAUCAGGGUCCCCCAGGGAGCCUGCUUCUUUCUCUGCCAGUGUCUCUGCCUCUCUCUCUUUGUGUCUCUCAUGAAUAAAUAAAUAAAAUCUUAAAAAAAGA